UACAGAGGUGGCAAGCGUUGUUCGGAAUUACUGGGCGUAAAGGGCGCGUAGGCGGUCCGAUAAGUCCUGUGUGAAAUCCCUCGGCUCAACUGAGGAACUGCACGGGAGACUGUCGGGCUUGAGUUCGGGAGAGGGAAGCGGAAUUCCGGGUGUAGCGGUGAAAUGCGUAGAUAUCCGGAGGAACACCGGUGGCGAAGGCGGCUUCCUGGACCGACACUGACGCUGAGGCGCGAAAGCGUGGGUAGCAAACAGG
rnacentral:rRNA from 1 species